rnacentral:rRNA from 1 species
GGGUGCGAUUUUACCAGCAAUAAUGCACCAGAUCCCAUUAAAACUCGGCAGUUAAGCGUGCUUGGGCGAGAGUAGUACUAGGAUGGGUGACCUUAUGGGAUGUUCUCGUCUUGCACCCC